UCGCCGUUGAAAGACGGUUUCCUCUUCGGAGGCACCUGCACAGGUGCUGCAUGGCUGUCGUCAGCUCGUGUCGUGAGAUGUUGGGUUAAGUCCCGCAACGAGCGCAACCCUUAUCCCUAGUUGCCAUCAGGUAAAGCUGGGAACUCUGGGGAGACUGCCGGUGAUAAACCGGAGGAAGGCGGGGAUGACGUCAAGUCCUCAUGGCCCUUACAUCCCGGGCUACACACGUGCUACAAUGGCAGGUACAGAGGGCUGCGAAGCCGCGAGGUGGAGCGAAUCCCAGAAAACCUGUCUCAGUCCGGAUUGAAGUCUGCAACUCGACUUCAUGAAGGCGGAAUCGCUAGUAACCGCGAAUCAGCAGGUCGCGGUGAAUACGUUCCCGGGCCUU
rnacentral:rRNA from 1 species